AUAGCGUAUAUUAAAGUUGUUGCAGUUAAAAAGCUCGUAGUUGAACUUCAGACCUGGCCGGGCGGUCCGCCUUUCUGGCGAGUACUGUCUGGCUGGGCCUUACCUCUUGGUGAACCGGCGUGCCCUUUAUUGGUGUGCGUCGGGGAACUAGGACGAUUACCUUGAGAAAAUUAGAGUGUUCAAAGCAGGCACAUGCCUGAAUACAUUAGCAUGGAAUAACAAAGUAGGACGUGCGGUUCUAUUUUGUUGGUUUCUAGAGUCGCCGUAAUGAUUAAUAGGGAUAGUUGGGGGCAUUGGUAUUGAGUCGCUAGAGGUGAAAUUCUUGGAUUGACUCAAGACCGACUAUUG
rnacentral:rRNA from 1 species